rnacentral:rRNA from 1 species
AUUGAACGCUGGCGGCAGGCCUAACACAUGCAAGUCGAGCGGAUGACGGGAGCUUGCUCCUUGAUUCAGCGGCGGACGGGUGAGUAAUGCCUAGGAAUCUGCCUGGUCGUGGGGGACAACGUUUCGAAAGGAACGCUAAUACCGCAUACGUCCUACGGGAGAAAGCAGGGGACCUUCGGGCCUUGCGCUAUCAGAUGAGCCUAGGUCGGAUUAGCUAGUUGGUGGGGUAAUGGCUCAUCAAGGCGACGAUCCGUAACUGGUCUGAGAGGAUGAUCAGUCACACUGGAACUGAGACACGGUCCAGACUCCUACGGGAGGCAGCAGUGGGGAAUAUUGGACAAUGGGCGAAAGCCUGAUCCAGCCAUGCCGCGUGUGUGAAGAAGGUCUUCGGAUUGUAAAGCACUUUAAGUUGGGAGGAAGGGCAGUAAGCUAAUACCUUGCUGUUUUGACGUUACCGACGGAAUAAGCACCGGCUAACUCUGUGCCAGCCGCCGCAGUAAGAC